rnacentral:rRNA from 1 species
AACGAACGCUGGCGGCAGGCCUAAUACAUGCAAGUCGAGCGCAUUCUUCGGAAUGAGCGGCGGACGGGUGAGUAACGCGUGGGAAUAUGCCCUUCUCUAAGGAAUAGCCUCUGGAAACGGAGAGUAAUACCUUAUACGCCCUUCGGGGGAAAGAUUUAUCGGAGAAGGAUUAGCCCGCGUUAGAUUAGGUAGUUGGUGGGGUAAUGGCCUACCAAGCCUACGAUCUAUAGCUGGUUUGAGAGGAUGAUCAGCCACACUGGGACUGAGACACGGCCCAGACUCCUACGGGAGGCAGCAGUAGGGAAUCUUAGACAAUGGGGGCAACCCUGAUCUAGCCAUGCCGCGUGUGUGAUGAAGGCCCUAGGGUCGUAAAGCACUUUCGCCAGAGAUGAUAAUGACAGUAUCUGGUAAAGAAACCCCGGCUAACUCCGUGCCAGCAGCCGCGGUAAUACGGAGGGGGUUAGCGUUGUUCGGAAUUACUGGGCGUAAAGCGCACGUAGGCGGAUUAGUAAGUUAGAGGUGAAAUCCCAGGGCUCAACCCUGGAACUGCCUUUAAUACUGCUAGUCUUGAGUUCGAGAGAGGUAAGUGGAAUUCCGAGUGUAGAGGUGAAAUUCGUAGAUAUUCGGAGGAACACCAGUGGCGAAGGCGGCUUACUGGCUCGAUACUGACGCUGAGUCG